rnacentral:rRNA from 1 species
AUAAGCGGAGGAAAAGAAACCAACAGGGAUUGCCUUAGUAACGGCGAGUGAAGCGGCAACAGCUCAAAUUUGAAAUCUGGCCCUUGGGUCCGAAUUGUAAUUUGUAGAGGAUGAUUUUGGUGCGGUAUCUUCCGAGUUCCUUGGAACAGGACGCCUUAGAGGGUGAGAGCCCCGUACGGUUGAAUGCCUAGCCUCUGUAAAUCUCCUUCGACGAGUCGAGUAGUUUGGGAAUGCUGCUCUAAAUGGGAGGUAAAUUUCUUCUAAAGCUAAAUAUUGGCCAGAGACCGAUAGCGCACAAGUAGAGUGAUCGAAAGAUGAAAAGCACUUUGAAAAGAGGGUUAAAUAGCACGUGAAAUUGUUGAAAGGGAAGGAUUUGUGACCAGACUUUUUCUGGGCGGAUCAUCCGGGGUUCUCUCCGGUGCACUUCGCCCAGUAAAGGCCAGCAUCGGUUUUCGGCGUGGGAUAAAAGCAGUAGGAAUGUGGCUCUCUACGGGGAGUGUUAUAGCCUAUUGUAUAAUACCGCGCUGGGGACCGAGGUUCGCGCUUCUGCAAGGAUGCUGGCGUAAUGGUUAUCAAUCACCCGUCUUGAAACACGGACCAAGGAGUCGAACAUUUGUGCGAGUGUUUGGGUGUUAAACCCUCACGCGUAAUGAAAGUGAACGGAGGUGAGAGCCCUUACGGGUGCAUCAUCGACCGAUCCUGAAGUUUUCGGAUGGAUUUGAGUAAGAGCAUAACUGUUCGGACCCGAAAGAUGGUGAACUAUGCGUGGAUAGGGUGAAGCCAGAGGAAACUCUGGUGGAGGCUCGCAGCGGUUCUGACGUGCAAAUCGAUCGUCAAAUCUGCGCAUGGGGGCGAAAGACUAAUCGAACCAUCUAGUAGCUGGUUACCGC